rnacentral:lncRNA from 1 species
GUCUGGAAUUUCCUGGAACCGCCCGGCACGGGGCACCCUCUCCAGCUCGCUACCCAGGCGCUGCCUGGCCCCUGGCUCUUCCAGCUCCCCCUCGGCCCACCCUCCGCAUCAGGCGGGCGCUUUGGUGCUGAGUGUGUCCAGCAGAGCGGCACCCCUCCCUUCCUGGACUCCCGGGUGGAACGGAAUGGACAUGUCUUUUGGGGCCCCCUCACAGGCGGGCUGGGUGGUGUGGGGCCGGGGCUGGGCCUGGGCUUGGGCGUCUGCACGACGGAGUCCGAGGUCACAGCUUCAGUACCACCCUCUCCAUUUGUGAAUUUUUUUCUUAUGUUGCACUUUCAUACCUGUAGGAUAUGAUUCAGAAUUUCUCUUAAACUAAGGCUUUUCCAGUUAAACCGCUGGCAUUGGAAUAACGAACGGUAGGGAGAUAGCUCCAGGCUUCUCCCUGAGAAUUCGGAGACCCAAAUGGCCUCUCUUUGGCAGCCUCAUCUUGCCGGGCUAGGCAUCUCAUUCUUUCAGGGUUCCAGCUGUUCACACCUGGGGAUUUUGGCUCACCUACAACAAAACAACCACCAGAACAAAAAGCAAAGAGGCAGACAGGCAGACGCAAAAUAGACAGAAGUUCCAAUCUGUGUGCCAGUGAGUCCUUAACCUACACGAAGAAACAGCACGGCAAAGGGGAUGUCAGCAUGCCAUCCAUCCACUUCCUUCCUUUAACAGCAUCCUGCCUCGUGGUUCUGGUGGGAAGUCCACCGCUCCAGGAACCGGGAGACCUGAGUCUGCUACUGACUGCCCAGACACUGCACAAGAGUCCAAAGCUGCCUUUUCUCCAGAAGAUGCUGAGAUCCUAAAGUGGCUGAACGUGGCUGUCAAUUGCAGAAAUGGUUUGAGGUUGCUCCUAACUAGUCCCACAUGGAUGGUUUACCACCUUUCCUGACAGCAUGAGGGAUGCUGGUCAGCUGUUCCCACAUCUGGACUCACAGGCCUCCACUCAGCUGCCGGCCAUGGGAAGCAGAAUGCCAGGGGAAUCCAGCUCCCUUACAUGAUGCGAAGAUGCUCAAGGCUCUGGAUCCAAGGCUGCGGUCUGACUCUUACGAGCCGUGUGACCUUAGGAAAGUCAUGCACCCUCAAUAAACUUGAGUUUCCUCAUUUGCA